ACACGGAGGGCACGAGCGUUGUUCGGAAUUAUUGGGCGUAAAGCGCGUGUAGGCGGCUGGGUAAGUCGGAUGUGAAAGCCCGGGGCUCAACCCCGGAAUUGCACUCGAAACUGCCUAGCUAGAGUCUCGGAGAGGAGAGUGGAAUUCCUAGUGUAGAGGUGAAAUUCGUAGAUAUUGGGAAGAACACCAGUUGCGAAGGCGGCCACCUGGACCGGUACUGACGCUGAGGUGCGAAAGCGUGGGGAGCAAACAGGAUUAGAUACCCCGGUAGUCC
rnacentral:rRNA from 1 species